CCUACGGGUGGCAGCAGUGGGGAAUAUUGGACAAUGGGGGGAACCCUGAUCCAGCCAUGCCGCGUGUGUGAAGAAGGCCCUCGGGUUGUAAAGCACUUUCAGUGAGGAAGAACGCCUGGUGGUUAAUACCCAUCAGGAAAGACAUCACUCACAGAAGAAGCACCGGCUAACUCCGUGCCAGCAGCCGCGGUAAUACGGAGGGUGCGAGCGUUAAUCGGAAUUACUGGGCGUAAAGCGCGCGUAGGUGGCUUGAUAAGCCGGUUGUGAAAGCCCCGGGCUCAACCUGGGAACGGCAUCCGGAACUGUCAAGCUAGAGUGCAGGAGAGGAAGGUAGAAUUCCCGGUGUAGCGGUGAAAUGCGUAGAGAUCGGGAGGAAUACCAGUGGCGAAGGCGGCAUUCUGGACUGACACUGACACUGAGGUGCGAAAGCGUGGGUAGCAAACAGGAUUAGAAACCCUAGUAGUC
rnacentral:rRNA from 1 species